CUUUCUCAAGGUAAUAAAGUGGAGAGUGAUAGAGCAUGGUUCCCAGUAUCCUCCUCUAAUCUCCAAAUAUUGUGUAUGCAUAAGCAAAUGUGAGUGCACACACACACAAACACACAUGAGUGCACACACAUACACACUUUAAGUUUUCUUCUGUUCUCACACAGUGUUUGGUUGCAGGUUCUUUAUCUUGAAUUGAAGGAACCAGCUUCCCUUUUGGCAGCCAUAACGGCCGAACACAUGUUUCUAUGACCUUGCCCUUGACACUAGAAAGUCAUAUGCCUGUCUCGUGACAAGGAACCAAUCAGAAGUUAGCUGGUGGUGCUAUGCUUUACGACCCUGGGUGUGCUUUACGGACAAGCGCACAGCAAUGACGUAGAGAUCAUAGCAACCACCCUGGGAGGGCCUAUGGGCCAUAACAACCAGUUGACCAAUCAACACAGGGCAAGCCCUCCAAGCCUGGAGGCACACCAAUCGUGAGCCUGUGCGUACCCCUAGACACUCCCCUUACGCUACCCUAUAAGAUCUUGUGGGAGCCCCUAGGAGUCGUCUUUUCUAGCUGUCUGCCAUGGCAGGUGGGUGAAAGACCCGAGCUAACAUGGGGUUAGCUCGUUAAAUUACAAUAAAGCCUCGUGCAGUUUGCAGCAAGCUCUCGAAUCCACCUGGUGAUUGGGGUGACCUCGAACGUGGCCUGGGACCCCGGAUACUUGAGUUUUCGGGGGUCUAACAGAAUGUGCCUUUUAUGCACAUAUUUGGUGUCUUAGUUGGGUUUCUGUUGCUGUAAAGAGACAUCAUGAACACAGUAACUCUUAUACAGGAAAAUAUUUAAUUGGGGCUGGCUUACAGUUUCAGAGAUUUAGUCCAUUAUCAUCAUGGCGGUUUGCAGGCAGACAUGGUUGCCUGGGCCUAGCUUGUAUCAGUCCCAUGCUACAGAGGCUGUCUAUUCUAGACUGAUGUCUUUGGGGGCUGUGAUCAGAGCCAGCUGAAUGACCCGGGGUCCAUCCCUGAGUCGGGGAGUGCUGGACGAGGAAACUCCCAGCUACCCAAGGUGAUAAAAACCAGACACAGACUUCUUGUCAUUUCAGUAGGGUUCUCAGUCCAUCCUGGAGUCUGGAGUCCAUGGUUUAUUCAAGCAUCCUCUUAAAUAGCUUUCCAACAGUGGAGGUGACAGCAGAAGACUCUCAUGUACAAAGCUGAUAUCAAUUGCCUCCUUUAAUCCUAGAGACAACCCUAAACAGCCCCUAGGCAUGUAAACAAGUCCUUAGAAUAGGUGUGGGUACACCCAGGGCCUAGGUCUGUUGUUAUGCAAACUAGAAAACAUUCUCCACUGAGGCCAAGCCAUCUGGUGGUAAUUAGCCAGCAUCUGAAAGACAAUGAGAGAUUCAGGCCCCUGGAAAUCAAGCUGAGGUUUGGACCCCAAAGCUUUAUAAUCAAUAUUUUUGGGCCCCAAUACAUGGUGCUAGAGAAGGAGCUCAGAGUUCUACUUCUUGAUUCACAGUGAAAGACUUAAAAAUUAACAAAGAAAUAUAACCCAGAUAAGGAAACUCUCCAAACUGAAUGUAAGGCAGCCUAACCCAGAAAUUAAGGCCACUACUAUGACUUAGUGCCUGGAAUUUACCAGCUUACAAGGCCAUAAGAUAACUGGGUAUCAAGAAUUCCCAAAUGGCCAACCUCCCCGAGGGGCUCAUGGAGGAAACAGAUUGCCCCACUGGCCAAUGUGUCAAUAAUUAACAAUUAUGGGUCCCUAUGAAACAAAGAGAUAGCUACCAUUUGCUCAGGCAAGAUAAGCAUAUCCUGAGGUCUGCAGGUUUUACAACUGGUGGGUCAGGAGGCCAUCUGAUUCCCAGGCCUCCCCUCAAGACAAAGGGCCUCCUAGGAACCCAUGACUCUGGUCACAUAUUCAAUGGGCAGAGAGUCGAGGCCCCUCCCUAAGCUUAUGGUUUUUGCCUUUAAAAACGCCUGUGCCUGGGGGACAGGGCUGCUCUCUAGCCUGCAUGCUGGGAGAGCCCGUUUGUACAAACCUUUCAUUAAAGCCUCUUGCUGUUUGCAUCAAGUUUCCGCCUCCUCGUGAUGAUUGGGGUGGCUGCAGUCCUGGGAAAAGAUUCUGGAGGCCUGAGCUUCCCGGGGUCUCACACCAAGUAGCAGAAGCAACUGUGUCACUGGCAUAGCAUGAGCAUAUUUAAGACCACAAAGUCCGCCUCCACAGUGACACACUUCUUCUAACAAGGCCACACCUCCUAAUAGUGCUGCUUCCUAUGGCCACACAUUCAAACACACGAGUCUGUAGGGGCCAUACCAAUUCAAAUCACCACAUCUAGGAAAUAAAGUAUUUUGGAAAACUUUCCAUGAUCUGUCAAUGAACAGAAGACACUUGCUGAAAUCUUGAGGAUAAGUAGGCAAGGCUAUGUUUUGUGCAGUCUUGAUUUACUUUCUAUUGUUGUGAGUAUACUAUGGCUAAGACAUAUAUAGACAAAAAGAAUUGAUUUGGGACUGACAGUUUCACAGGGUUAGAGUCCAUGACUAUCAUAGCAGACAGCAUGGCAACAGGCAGACAAGCUUGGCACUGGAGCAGUAGCUGGGAGCUUACAUCUUGAUUCACAAAUAAGAGGCAGAGAGCGCUAACUGAGAGUGACAGACCUACUCCAGGAAGAGCACACCUCCCAAUCCUUCCUAAACUUUUCCAUCAACUGGAGACUAAAUAUUCAGAUAUAUAUGCCUAUAGAGAUAAUUCUCAUUGAAAUCACAACAUUCUACUCUCUAACCCACAUAGGCUUAUAUCAUAAUGUAAGACACAUUUAGUACAACUUCAAGUGUCCCCGUAAUAUUUGAGUCUGAAUACACUUUAAAGUCCCAAAGUCUCUUCUGAGACUCAAGGAAAUUUGUUAAUUGUAACACUUAUAAAAAUAAAAAGGCAAGUUAUGAACUUCCAACAUAUAUAAUAAUGGCAUAGAAUAUGCAUUACCAUUCCAAAAUGUAGGAAUGGGGGCAAAAUGAAGAAAUACUGCACCAAAGCAAGACCAAACCCCCACAGGGCAAACUCCAAAACCUGUAACUCCAUUUCCAAUGUCAGGGGGCUUAGAUGACUCCACCUCUCCUGCAUUGUUGACUGUAAUAUGCUUCUGUCCCUUGAGCUGGUUCCACUCCCUGUGUGCAGCUCUCCUUGGCAGGUAUCCCAUGGUUCUGGCAUGUCCAACAUUUGAGGUCUCCAAGACGACCCAGGCUUCACUUUCACAGCUUCACUGAUUGACCUCUCAGAGACUCCAUGCAAGAGCCCCACUGCCUCAUGCCUGGCUUCAGCAUCUUUCUUAAUCACAGAGGAAGAUUCCACAACCUCACUCCUGGUGUGUCUGUCACUGCUCUAAAGCCAGAAUCCUGUGAACAACAUGACCAAAUCUGAGGCUGUCACCUGACCCUUCCCUGAAUUACAUUUGCAGAAACUUUCUUUUGUUGCUUUUUAUGAGAAGAAAAUUCCCAGGCCUUUCUUUCUAGCAAGCUUAGAUGGGUGAGAUCUUGCUCUGAGGGCACCCUACCCCUUAUUCCAAUUCGUGUCAGACCUCUCUUUACCUCCUUUAGCACAAGCCUUGGCUCCAGCAUUAAAUGUCCUGGUGCUCUUUUUCACUUCAGUGAAUAUGGUCUAAAUUUCCUUUUGUCCUUCUCAUUCUUUUCGUUGUAGACCUGCAUGAGAGAGAGUGCUAAUAACCACUCAACAGAUCAAUAUUAGACUGUCUUGAAAUCUCUUCUGCCAAGAAAAUUAAUCCAAUAGUUUUAAAAUUAGCUUCAGAAAGAUUCUUAGGAUGUGGAUAAAAGGAAUACACUUUCUUUGCCAGAAUAUCAGAAUAAUGGACGCAGCUGCUAAUAGUGUUUCCCUCUGAAACCCCUUGAGAGAGGCCUUGGUAAUCCACAUUGUUCUUAGCACUUUUGUCUUUUGAGCUCCAACUAGGAUGACUCACUAAGUCAUGUGUAGAGUGUUAAACCUCUUUCCUAAUCCAAAGUCCCCAAGGUUUCCAUUUUCCUCCCCAAAACAGCAUGGCCAGGCCUGUCACAGUAACAGUCCACUCCCUGGUACCAACUUCAUGUUUUAGUUACUUUUCUAUUGCUAUAAAGAGGCAUCAUGACCAAAGCAACCUACAGAAUAAAAAGUUGAUUUGGGACUUACAGUCUAAGAGGGUUAAGUCCAUGACCACCACAGCAGGGGGCAUGGCAGCAGGUUGGCAGGCAUGGCACCAAAGUAAUAACUGAGAGCUCACAUACUGAUUCACAAGUGGGUGGCUAAUGUGGAAAAUUACCAAUAUGGAGCCAGGUAAAAAUACAAGGGUAUUUAAUAGGGAAAAGCCUUACUUACAGAGCAACCUAGCCAGCCGGCAGGGCAGCAGUAAGUACAGCAAGCCGAAGAUGAAAGUGAAAAAAGGGCCAUCAUGUAAGCAUCCCUCACUCUUAAACUUUCCCUACAUCACCCUGACCACACCCUCGAAGGCGUGGUCAGGCACACCUGUAGCCAGCCCCUAAGCAGGCGUGGCUACAGCAUCCUCUACAGGUGGCAGAGAGAGUUACCCAAGAGUAGCAUGGGCUUUUAAACGUCAAACACUACUCCCAGUGACACACCUCGUGUCUAACAAGACCACACUUACUAAUCCUUCCUAAAUAGUUCCAAUGAAGGGACCAGCCCCCCAUUUUGGCAGCCAUGACAGUAACCGUGCUCACUAUGACCUUGUCUUAGUCACUAGAAGUUAGGUACCUGCCUGGUGACAAGGAACCAAUCAGAAGAUAGCUGGUGGCGCUAUGCUUUACGACCCUGGGUGUACUUUACGGACAAGUGCACAGCAAUGAUGCACAGAGCAUAGCAACCACCCUGGGAGGGCCUAUGGGCCAUAACAACCAGUUGACCAAUCAACACAAGGCAAGCCCUCCAAGCCUGGAGGCACACCAAUCGUGAGCCUGUGCGUACCCCUAGACACUCCCCUUAUGCUGCCCUACAAGAUCUCUCGCAGCCAGUUCAAACUGUCUUUUGUAGCCAACCGCCAUGGUGGGUGGACAAAAGACCCGAGCUAACAUGGGGUUAGCUCGUUAAAUUACAAUAAAGCCUCAUGCAGUUUGCAGCAAGCUCUCGAAUCUGCCUGAUGAUUGGGGUAUUGGGGUGACCAUGGUCAUGUCCUGGGACCCUGGAUACCUGAGUUUUCCAGGGGUCUAACACCACCAACCUAGGGACCAAAUAUUCAAAUACAUGAGCCUAUGGUGGCCAUUCUUUUUUUUUUUUCAACAUAACAUUUUAUUGGUUCUCUGGGAAUUUCACAUCAUGCACCCCAAUCACACCCAGUCCUUCCAUGUCAUCUUCUACCCUUGUGUCCUCCCCCUGCCAAAAAAAAUGUAAAAAUAAAAAUAAGAAUUAAAAAAAUAACAAAAAAGUCCAAUCUGUGUUAUCUAUAUAUUCACUGGAGCAUAUAAACUAUCACAGUGGUGAAUAAACGUAUUCUGAGGAAUGGCAUGGUAGAACAAGUCAAGAUGGCAAACUGGAUAGAAGAUGACUUCCUUCCAGGAAAUCAACCCCAAAGAAACUACAGAAUCUGACAGAACACAUGAAUUUCAGUAAUUAGCUCAUUAGUAAUAAAAGAGAUCAACUAGUGGGAGAAAUGUAACACAAAUGAGAAAAGAUGAAAACAAAGCUUCAUGUGCAUUUGAGGAGGGGAAGGAUAGCUAGAGAAGACAGGCAGAGACCAUAUUCAAUGAAGGCCAGGAGAGAAGACAGAUUCAGUGUGUCUUAUACUUCAACUCUCUCCAGUUUUGGGGAACUAUCCUUCAUACAAAGUCUGAUUGUUGCUCCCAGUGUUCAUGGGAUACUCUCAGAGCAGCUCAAAAGCCUCAAAGACCCAAGGAGUUCAUACCAACAGAUAUGCACAGCAGCUACCCAGGACAUUCAUGCCUCUUCUUUUCAACUCCCAAGGAACUGGUGGUUUUUAACCUGUGGUGGUUUUCCCCAUCCUAGUGUCUUUAUUCACAAAGUUUUAUAAGUGUUCAGGUUGAGGUUUUCCUAGUGUAAUAAUAAUAGAAGGAAGGACCCAGUAUACUUCCAUUUAACUGCUCUUCACCAUUUGAUUCACCUCCUUUAUUUACCUUAAGUUACCAGAACUCAGAAAAUUAAACUUUGUCCUUUAAUCCCCAAAAAGGAGUUUUCAGGACAAAUCCAAUAGAAGUUUCAAUAGAGAGCUUGAAGACACAAAGUAUACCAUCUGCCAGUGGUCAAGAAACACUGAUAUAUCCAGAAAGUUAGAAAUGUAUGUUGGAAGACUUAAAUGGCACUGCUUGCAACACAAAGGGGAAACAAGAGGUCAUAUAAAAGAGUCUGUUGAGACUAUGGGUUAUAUGAAUGCAAUAGCUGAAGUAACACCAGGCAGAAGAGCUAAAAUAAAUACUAUUUAAUUAAAACCAUGGACACAACUUUAUAUAAAUUAAUGAAAUAGAAAUUCAUAUUAUAAAUCUCUCCAGGAAUAAAAUAUGUUUGAAAAGCAGAAUAAAAGAACUGAGAGGCAGAGAUGGACAAAAGUGGUCCCCAAAAUAACAUAAAAGUGAAAAUGGAAAAUUGAACACAUUUAUUAAAAUGUGGUUAAAAAUUCUCACAACUUGAUUAAAAGAAAAGUUAGAACAAAGGGGAUUAGUAGAAAAGGGAAAACACACAAAGAAAACUUAAAACCAAACAGAAAUGAAAAAUGUUGCAGCAGAAAAAUAAAUAAAAUAUAGCAUGGUAGUUUGUGUGUAAUUGGCUCCCACAACUCCCAAUGGGAGUGGCACUAUUAGGAUGUGUGGCAUUGUUGAAGUAGACAUGGCCUUGUUGGAGGAAGUGUGACACAGUGGGUAUGGGCUUUGAGGUCUCCUGUGCUCAAGCCUCACUCAAUGUGACUCUCAGUCUAUUUCCUAUUGCCUACACAUAGACAUGUAGCAAGUACCUCUUCAGCUCCACAUCUGCUGCACACCACCAUGUCUCACCGUGAUGAUAAUGGACUGAACCUCUGAACUCUAAGUGAGCCACUCCAAUUAAAUGUUUUCCUUUGAAAGAGUGGCUGUGGUCAUAGUGUCUCUUCAUAGCAAUAAAAACCUUAACUAAGGCAGAUACUAUCUGAAGAUAAUAUCGGAGUAAAGAUAACAUUAGACAAAAAUCAUAAAGGACACUGUUAAUCUACUCAAGCAGCUAUAAUAAAAUACCAUGGGCUAUGUAGUCUAAAAGCAAAAACUGUUAGUCUUUCAGAGGACCUGUGUUCAGUACUCAGCACCCAUGCAGUAACUCACAACUGUUCAUAAUUCUAGUUCUCAGUGCUCUGACUCCUGUUCUGACCUCCACAUUAGACAUGAAUAUGGGGCACACAUGCACAUGCAGGAAAAAUACUUACGCACCUAAAAAUGAAAUAAAAAAAUUUAAAACCUAAUGUGAUACUAAAAUAAGAGAAAUGCCAUUUUACAAUCCUGAAUCUCAUUUUAAAGUAGAGAAUAUUCAUUUAUUUUCAGUAUCAGUCUGUUCAGAAGUAAUGCCAAUUUGACCUUUGGAAAAUACAUUGAGGAAGAAGAUCUCUAAAGAGAUUGAUAGAAGAACAAAGAAAUAACUAUUAUUUUAGGAAUAUUUAAUAUGAGGAUGAACAGUUAAUACACUGCAAAGACUACAAAACAAUAUCAUCACCGUAGUAUUUGCAUGCUCACUGAUAAUCAUAUUAAAAAAUUAAAACAGAUUAAAAAUUAGUUUUAAAACUUAAUAGGUAAAAAAUAUACAUAAAAAAUAAGCAGAAAUUAGAAAUCUUGUGUAAAAUAGUAAAUAACUACUAAAUGAUGUGACUUUACAGAUAUGUCCUAUCAAAUAUGUGGAGGAAUAAUUCAUGUCAAUUUAAAUUUUAUAUAAUAUAUACAUACAUAUAUAUACAUAUAUAUAUAUAUAUAUAUAUAUAUAUAUAUAUGUUCUUAUUUUGGGUUUUUGAGACAGGAUUUCUCUGUGAAUCUUUGUAGACCAGGCUGGCCUUGAACUCACAGAGAUCCACUCCUGCCAAUGCCUCCUGGGUGCUAGUCUUAAAGUCGUACACCACCCACUGCUCAGCUAAUUAAGAGGGCAGCCAAGUCACAGAGAAACCCUGUCUCGAAAAACCAAAAAAAAAAAAAAAAAGAAACCAAAAAAAAAAAAAAAAAAAGGAGGGCAGCACAAGUCAAAGAGGCAAUGUUUGCCAGUAGUUUUAGAAAAAUAGACCGCCAUAAUGGGGCAUGUGCUGUCUAACCCUGCAGAGACAGAAGACUUCAGGGCUAUGAAUAUUAAAAAGGUGAAUCUGUACUCUUAAAAGGCAUAAAGAAAUGCUUUGGGCAGAGAAGUAUGUCUUGUACUCAUGUCAUAAGUGAAAUCCAUCUUUCUGUUGCCUACAAUAAAAUCACCUUAUCUUCAAAGAUAGGAACCACCUUAACAUGAGAUGAUAUUCCAAGUAAAUAUAACCAGGAAGCAAGGAGGCGUCCCUGUCCUAAUAUCUGACAAAGUAGAUUUCAAACUAAGAUUAAUCAUAAGAAACAAAGACAGAUUUCAUUUUAAUCAAGAGAAUAAUUAAGCAAGUAAACACCAUAAUCCUAAGCAUAUAUGCACCAAUGUGGGUAUAGACAAUUUCACAAAAAGUACAUUACUGAACUUACAUACAUAGAUUAAUUUCAGCUAAAUAGGUGAUUUCAAUAUCACAAUUUCUCUAAUAGACAAGAUAUCUGGAUAAAAAAUAAAUAGGAACUUCAAAAUUAAGUUAUAUAAUUCAGCAAAUUGAUAUAAUAGAUAUCUACAGAAUAGUCCAUGCAAACAUCAAAAAAUACUUACUCUUCAGCAGCUAAUGGAAGUUUCUCUAAAAUAGACCACACACUUGGAAAAAAAAAAAAAACUUAGUUAAUUCAGAAAAACUGCAAUGACUUCAUAUAUCCUAUCUGACAAUAUAGUAAUUAUACAAACUCAUGGACAGUAAUUAUACAAACUUGUGCAGAUUAAACAACUCAAGAAAGAGACCAAGAAAUAAAUAAAAAGAAAAUCCCAGAAUUAAACAAAAAUUAAAACACAACAAAACAAAAUCUCUAGGGCACGUUAAAAUCAGUCCCAUGAUUUUAAUAAGCUAUAAGUACCUACAUUUUUAAAACAGAAAGAUAAAAUAUCAGAGAAAAAAUAAAACCCAACUACUUCCACAUUCCAGAAUUUAGGGUAUCCUAAAUUUGUAUUCCUAGGUCAUGUUCUUUCAUGUUUGGCUUUAGAAUAAACUAUGUCUUAUUCCCUUUUCGGAUAAAGAAAAAUCAUAUGAUUGUAUCGAUUAAGAACAAAAAGGACAUCAUAUCAAAGACUCCCUUCUUCUGAACCACUCAGACUACAAACUCAAGUAGUAAACUGCCCCACAUGAAACAUACGCCAAAUUUGUCUAAGAACACAAUCCUGUGUAAAGUGGGAAAUUACCAAUAUGAAGUCAGGUAGAAAUACAAGGGUAUUUAAUAGGGAAAAGCCUUACUUACAGAGCGACCUAGCCAGCUGGCGCGGCAGCAGUCUGUAUAGCAAGCCAAAAAAUGAAAUCGAAAGUGCCCAGCCACCUGACCACCUCUCACUCUAUGUCACCCUGACCACGACCUUGCAGGCAUGGUCAGACACACCUGUAGCCAGCCCCUAAGUAGGUGUGGCUACAGCUUCCCCUACACAUGUGACCUUCAGAAAUGCUGGGUCUUCAAUACCAUUAACAACUGAGAACCCAAACAUUUCUCUCAGUUUUCAUGUUUCCUAAAUGCUUUAUAAUUUGAAUGUUGAUAUUUGUGACAUUUAUGAUAUUUGCUAUUUUGCUUGGUUCUAAGUGAUAAAAUAAUGCUAAUUUGGGUUUUAAUAAAGUUAUAAAGGACAAUAUUAACCACAUUUUAUUAACCAUGAUUUUUAUUAUGAUUGUUUAGCCUAAACUCCCAUCUUUGUCAAAUCUAGUUUUCAUAUUGAAAAGAGUCAACUAUUCUCACUGUCUUGAUUUUUAAAAUACAUUUCCCAUUAGUCCAUAUAUUUUGGACUUUUUUAAAUCCGGUUUUCCAAUUGAGCUUUAAUUGCAUUUUCUCUUACUACAAGUACACAGAGAUUUGGGGUUAACUCUUCAAAAUGUCUAUUAACAGCAUCCCUGAUGUUUUGUGCCUUAAGUACUGAUAUUUCUUAAAUUAAAAUCUACAUUGUCUAAUAUACAAUUGUCCUAUAGCACAAUUAGCUGAGACUUAAUAAAAGACUAGUUAAUGAUUGGAUUUAGCUAAUAAAAAUAAAAGGACAAUACUACAGUCCUAUUUCGAUUUCUAACUGCUAAUAAAAUGAAGGACUUGGUUAUGCCAGGAAGGACCAUAACAUUCUGAUGUCCAACAGCUCUUACCUCUUGUUUUUAUCACUGUUACUGAUAAUUUGUUACAUGAAAAAGACAAUCUUAAUUUUUAAAGGUUUAAAAAAUCUAUAUUGUUAUCUAAUUUUUCUGUAAUGUGACUUCCCAUUUGCCUUUCCCAACUAAAUCUAGUACAGUGCCAAUAUAUUAAAACAUCAAUAACAGAUGAUAAAAUAUUAUAAUAAGGGUAUUAUGGAAUCAAUCCAGCAAGAAGACAGACUAGAAUUAAAGGGCAAUGAACUAUUGCAAGUGCUGCAAAAAUAAAAUAAAAUAAAAUGCUCCUUAUGGUACAAAUGACUGUCGACAUCAUAGGAGAUGUAUCUACUUAAGGAAUAUUAAGGAAUAUUAAGACCGAGGUGAGGGAUUUUUCUCCCCGGCUGGGUAGGAUAUCUAUUUCCUUCAUCUGUUGCUUUCAUUUCAUUAGGCAAAACAGUGUUCUUAAAUAUUUUAAUUUUAAGUAUAAUAAUCCCCUUAUAUGUCAAAUGUAAAGCUGUGUCAAAUACAGAGGACACAUUUUUUAAAAGUCAGAACCAGGUCCUGAUAUGAUCAAGGAGUUCCUUCUCGAUGUCUUCACCAGUUACCAUCUCUCCUGAAGACUGCCAUCUUGCCUACUACUCAGAAUCAUCUACAUCAGGUCCUAGGAAAGAUCCUUCCUAGCGAUGUGGGACGUUAUAAUAUUUAAUAAGUAAUAUGUGUUUACCCCUUCCCUGCCCACCUGCAUAAGUGUGAUGCUAAGUCAACAGGGGGGAAUUGAACAAGAAUUCCUGUAAUGUAACUGUCAAUUUCAGUGACUGUGGAGAAUUUUGAAUGUUGCGGUUCAGAGCCUAUUUACAAUUUAUUUUGGGCUAUCUCUGGCCCAAUAGUCCUCCCUUGCCCACCUCUGUGUCAGAUCAUUAAUGCCUUUGAAAUAUAUUAACUUUGUUUAUUUGUUUGUUUUCUGAGACUGCCUUGGCUGACUUGAAGCUCACUAUGUGAACCAGGCUGGCUUAAAAUUCAGAGAGAUCUGUCUGCUUCAGAAUUUUAGAUACCGUGAUUAAAGGUGUGCACCACCAUGCCCAGCCCUGAAAUAUAUCAACUUAACAAACCCCUAUCCUCUAGUACUCAAAGAGCAAAGAAUGCUAUCAGACAGAAUCCAAGGUAUAUAUUUGAGGGUACUCCACCUGCCUAUAACCCACUUCUUCGGUAUUUCCACCAAUAUAUAUAAAUAAAAUAAAAACAAUCUUAUUUUACAUACUAACCCCAGUUCCCUCUUCCUCCUGUCCUCCCAUGCCCCCCACCAACCCUCCAUCCCAUCCCCAAUCCACUCCCCAGGGAGGGUGAGGGCCUUCCAUGGGGGAUCAUCGAAGUCUGUCACAUCAUUUGGGGCAGGACCUAGGCCCUCCCCCGUGUAUCUAGGCUGAGAGAGUCUCCCUCCAUAGGUUGUGGGCCCCCAAAGCCCAUUCAUGCACUAGGAAUAAAUACUGGUUCCUGUUACGAUAAAUCUUUCUGCCAAAAGCCACCAGAGCCCUACUGCCACGUGGGUGCUUUCCGCUAGCCACCCGAGUUCUGCCUGCCGAGUUAGGGCCCCAAAUAAUACACAGAGACUUAUAUUAGGUGCAAAGCUGCUUGACCAAUGACUAGGAUUUCUCAUCUGUUAGUUCAGUCUUAAUUAUCGUAAAUCUAUAUAUUUUAUAAG
rnacentral:lncRNA from 1 species